UUCUGUAUCAUGAGUGACGUCACUCACAAGACUUCUGGUUUGACUUUAAAAUCAUUAUUUCAUAUCUAGCAACUUAUUAGGGAGGAUGUUUAAAAAAACACAAUUACUUCUACAUAAUACUACAUCCUAGUUUGAAAAAUCAAUGUAAGGGGGAAUCCAGUCUUUUAAUUUGACCUUGACUUGAGUAUAAGGUCAGUCUACUAAUACAUAAAUACAUACAUUAAGAUAAAUGAACCAUGGUUUAUUUUAGGAAGUUUGUAAACCAUGUUUUUUGCGUAUUGAUUACUAGUUGUAGCCUACUAUUGUUUUACUAAAUAUAAUAGCAAAAGGUUACUGUUGUGAGACAAUGGUAAAUGUGUUUAUGGUUUUUGUAGCUACAAAUACAGUUGAACUUAAAAUUGAAGAGUACAUUUUCUUAAGGGAAAUACCGUAAAACACAGUCACAAUACAAGACAUUAUUUUAAAUAUUUCUUGGUAGGACUACAGGCUACAGCAUUUAAGGAGGGGGACAUAAAUGAGGCAUUAAUGGUGUGAAAAUAGGCUUGUCUGACAGGCUGAUGAAGAGAGAGAUUCAAGAAAUCUUAAGUGCCGUUCACAUUAUAAUGAUAACUAUAAAAAGUGUAUAGUUUUAAAAAUCGUUUAAUAUUAAAGAGAACACCAGAGUUCACACCAAAACGAUACCGAUAAAGAUACCGCGAGCGAUGUCCUUGUAAUCACUUUCUGGUGAUGACAGCCAAUCAAAUCUUUGAUGACAGCCAAUCAAAUCUUUGAAAUUCAAGUGCAUGCGCAUUUGAAAUGACAGAUGACAACGUGGAGAACCUCAUUGCUGAAGUCUAUAACAUAAAAUUACCUCAGGUAUCCAGUGCUACGCCAAAAGGCGACAUUAUAGAGACAGAUGGAUCGCUGGAGAAGCUUUACUCAGCAGCUUCAACUGGCCAAACACCUUGUAUCCUGUCACAAGCUGUGAGAAACCUCUAGUCUAUUCCUUCAUCUCCGUUCCAAGAGUGACUGUCCCUGGAGAUGACAGCUGUGGAUGUGUCGUGUCAGGAUGUGAGGUGUGCAUCAGCAGUGACAGUUGGGCCAUCUCUCAAUGAUGCCAGAUGAGUUUAUGAGAAUGUUGGGCAGCUUAUGCAAUUCUAUAUUCUAUAAAUUUUAAACCCAAAUUA